rnacentral:tRNA from 1 species
CUCAUAUUUCUUUAGUAUAACUAAUACCAAUGACUUCCAAUCAUUUUAUCUUGGUUAAACUCCAAGAAGAAAUA